rnacentral:pre_miRNA from 1 species
UCUUAUGAAUGAUCAAAGAAAGUGGUUUCUUGAGGUGGAAGCUACUCCUGCUGAAGACGCUGUGAA